GAUGAACGCUGGCGGCGUGCCUAAUACAUGCAAGUCGAGCGAACGGACGAGAAGCUUGCUUUUCUGAUGUUAGCGGCGGACGGGUGAGUAACACGUGGAUAACCUACCUAUAAGACUGGGAUAACUUCGGGAAACGGGAGCUAAUACCGGAUAAUAUUUUGAACCGCAUGGUUCAAAAGUGAAAGACGGUCUUGCUGUCACUUCUAGAUGGAUCCGCGCUGCAUUAGCUAGUUGGUAAGGUAACGGCUUACCAAGGCAACGAUGCAUAGCCGACCUGAGAGGGUGAUCGGCCACACUGGAACUGAGACACGGUCCAGACUCCUACGGGAGGCAGCAGUAGGGAAUCUUCCGCAAUGGGCGAAAGCCUGACGGAGCAACGCCGCGUGAGUGAUGAAGGUCUUCGGAUCGUAAAACUCUGUUAUUAGGGAAGAACAUAUGUGUAAGUAACUGUGCACAUCUUGACGGUACCUAAUCAGAAAGCCACGGCUAACUACGUG
rnacentral:rRNA from 1 species